rnacentral:rRNA from 1 species
UACGUAGGGUGCAAGCGUUAAUCGGAAUUACUGGGCGUAAAGCGUGCGCAGGCGGUUUUGUAAGUCUGUCGUGAAAGCCCCGGGCUCAACCUGGGAAUUGCGAUGGAGACUGCAAGGCUUGAAUCUGGCAGAGGGGGGUAGAAUUCCACGUUUAGCAGUGAAAUGCGUAGAGAUGUGGAGGAACACCGAUGGCGAAGGCAGCCCCCUGGGUCAAGAUUGACGCUCAUGCACGAAAGCGUGGGGAGCAAACAGG